ensembl:lncRNA
GCCCCGGGACUGGCGGGGCGGGGAGCGAGUGCCCAAGUCGCCCCGGGGUGGCUGUUCCCGUUAACCUUAGCCACAAAGUCAAAGACGGCUGGGCAGGGAGCCGCCGUGCUGAUGCUGAGGGGCCCCGGGCAUGGAGAGUGGCCUGGCUGGCGGCAGCCCAGGUAAGAGAUAAGAUGCCCAUGGCUUCCUCCUCCCCAGCCCCCUCCCCUCCCUGCGUAGCUGAGCAGGAAUUACCUGUGGCCUGUAGAACCACAGUCUGGGACUGGGACACUGAGGCCACAUCAAAGAAUGGCGCCAGCACAGACCAGGGGACGGAGAACUGACCAAGCCCAGCCCUUGCUUGCCAGGCGGGGACACACACACACACACACACUGCACAGAAAUCUGCCAGGGGAAGUCAGGUGUUUGUCAAGUGCUGGGUCAGGGAGUGCGUGGUGAUCAUGCCCAUCACGCCCUGAAAGCCACGUUCGACGGGACAAGCCCUGCUGUUUGUCGGGCAGGAGAGCGAGCGUCUCCAGUUCUGCCCAUUACCGCUUCCUGAGGUCACUCAAUUCAUGGUCUGUGUCGGCCGAGCUUAGAGCCAGUGGGGAGAAACACAGCCCUUAGCCCCAGCACCCACUUCCAGACGGAGCAGUCCCAGGGUUGAGACCCGCUCUUGCAGCAUCUGCGGCGGCCCGGGUGUGGGUGUCGCCAGGCUGCGCAGAGGUGAUGGCCCAGCCCCGGGAGCCCUGCCCCUCGCUGCUGCACACACUGACUUGGCUCUUCCCCUCCCAUCCCUCCAGGGCAGCUGCCCCCACAGCCCCUGCCCUCCUGGAUGAUCACCGCAGUGGACCUAACAGGAGACAAAAAUCAGACAAAAGAAGCAGCAGCUCAGAGCGGAGCAGGAGGAGGUCUGGACACCAGGCUGUCCUGGGGCUGGGUCCUGACAGAUGGCAGUGAGCAUGGCCACCCCACUUCCCAGGCUCCUGACACUUUGAACACUGAGAGCACCUGAGGGGUGUGUGUGCGUGUGUGUGAUGUGACAUUAGUCUUUGCAGGAAAACCUUGGGUACCAACCGUUUUAGCAGAAGGACCCUUUUGCCCACGUAAACUCCUAGGUGAGGUCCGGAUUCAGACGUGAGAGACAGACUCCACCAGGGCCUUUGCUCCCCCUGUAGCAGCUUCAGGAAGAGAUGGCAAAACACCGGCCUGGACCCUGGAGACACUGGGGGACUGGGCGCCACGGUGGUCUGCAGCCCCACAGCUUUCCAUGCCUACCGGCCAGGCUCAGGACAUAACUCUUCUACAUGACCAAAGUUUUCAGAUAAUUCAGAGCUUACCUCUUUUAAGUACCUUUUAAUUUUUUUAAAUUUUUUUUAUGUGAGGGUUUUUUUUUUAAUUGUGGUGAAAUGUAAAUAACAUGAAACAACCGUUUUUUUUUUUACCAUUUUUAUGUGUCUGCGUUGGUGGCAUGAUGUAUAUUCAUGUCAUUAUACUGCCAUCACCAUCAGCUGUUUCCCAAGUUUUUCCGUUAACCUCAGAAACUACCCGUUAAGGAGGAAGAGCUCUCUAUUUAGUGCCCUUUUAUUUCAUCUGGACCGUUAAGAAUUUUAAAAAGUGAUCCUAAGGAGCUGUUCAUACCUCUGGACCAGGCAGGCAGAGGCCUGGUUUCCUCUGGAUCGGCGCACGAUCCCUACAGGAAGGUGCCUAUGGUGAUUGAAGUCCCAGCACAAGCCUGUCACAUGUCCCCACAUGCCACCCCUAGGCCUCAGGGCCUCCUCACAUGUCUGGCCACAUAUUCCCACCUGGGCCCUGGCGCAGCAUGGUAGAUGUCUCGGCCAAGUUCAUCAAGGCAAGGCAGCAGCUUCAUGGGGCUCUGGGGCAUUAAUGGGGCCCUGUCGCCUGAGGACAGCGGCACCCCUCUGACUCAAGUAUAUUUGGAUUCACUGCCUGACCAUCCGUUAGACACCCAGCCCUGUUAAAUACUUCCACCGGACAGCAUUUCAGUGCAGCUAAGGAAACACAGUCAGUAAACUCAUUCCACUUGGCAUUUUCAAUUCCUGCCAGUACACAAUUUAAACCACUCCUUUCAUUUUCAAGUUAUUACUCCUGAUAAAAUGAUUUCCCACAACCAAGCAGCUGGGGAGGCCUCACAGCGUUGUUUUGCCAGAAGGAGAACUGGCCCCCGACAGGCGCUUUCUGUGACAAUCCCUACCCUCCGAGCCCUGUCCCCAGGGUCACCACAUCAGUUUCCGUGCCCUCAUGGUGGCCAGUGAGGCUGUAGAGUAGAGUAGAGCUCUUUGGCCCCAGAAGUAAAGGCCGCCAGAGUAGAGGGGGUUUCUGUUUACUUUGUAAGCUAUUUUAAAGAUUUAAAAAUUAUGAUUUUUGAAUUUUUAUAAGACUAUUCAAAUAACAUGUAUUAAGUGAAGGCCCACUUUGACCUCUCCAUCUAGUCCUCCCGUGGUCCAUGUCACCUGCAGGGUGACCACCAAUUUCAGUUUAGUGUGAUUGGUCCCAGAGUGGGAUGUCUGUAUACACAGAGAGGUAUGGUGUUUUGUGUGUGGAUUGGAUCAGACAACUGAUACUUUUUUCCAGCCUUUUUUUUUUCCCUCUUAAAUUGUUUUGGAACUCUUUUCACAUUGACAUAUGUAGCCUCUUUUCAGUUGCUGCAUAAUAUUCCAUAUUAUAAGGAAGGUAAACAUUUUGUUAGACUACUAUUAAUGGGUAAUUAGAUUGUUUUCUCCUUUUUUAAUAAUUACAAAUAGCACUUCAGUGAAUAUACUUGGACGUACCUAUUUGGACUCAUAUGUAAGUAUAUCUUAAGGGAGUUCCAGUUUUGGCAUAGUGGGUUAAGAACCUGAAAUAGUGCCAUGAGGAUGUGGGUUUGAUCCCUGACCUCACUCAGUGGGUUAAGGAUUCGCCAUUGCCUUGAACCGUGGUGUAGGUUGCAGACGCUGCUUGGAUCCCGAGUUGCUGUGGUAUAGGCUGGCGGCUGUAGCUCUGAUUUGACCCCUAGCUUGGGGACCUCCAUGUGCCGCAGAUGUGGCUGUAAAAAGAAAAAAAAAAUGUGUCUUAGGAUAAACACCUAGAGUGAAAUUGCUGGUUAUAAGGGCUGGAAGAGUCUACACAUUUCCAAUUAAAUAAGCACUCUCAAGUUGUCCUCAAAGAAUCUGACUUUGUACUUUCCAUGUGUAUUGCAAAGUAGGGAUGAUCUCAGUUGCUACAGUACUUGCUGGUGAGAUGGGUGAAAGAUGUUACACUCUUAUUUUGCACUUUGCUGAUUACCAGUGAGGUUGAAUCUCUUCUCAUCAUAGCUACAGGAGUCCUUUAUACUCUGUGCUUAAUCCUUGGUCCAUUAUAUAUCUGCACAUAUAUUCUCCUAGACAUGCGCUGUCCAGUAUGCGGCCCCAAUGGUUAUUUGGAUUUAAAUUAAUUUAAAUGAAAGAAAAUAAAAUCAGUUUCCUCAUGGACUGGACACAUUUCAAGUGCGGCCAAUAGCUCCAAUGGUUAUAUGGAUUUAAUUAACUUAAAAGAAAAUAAGAGUUCCCAUUAUGGCUCAGUGGUAACAAACCUGACUAAUAACCAUGAGGAUACAGGUUGGAUCGCUGUCCUUGCUCAGUGGGUUAAGGAUCCAGCAUUGCCAUGAGCUACAGUGUACGUCACAGAUGCAGCUUGGAUCUGGCAUUGCUGUGGCUGUGGCGUAGGCCGGCAGCUGUAGCUCCGAUUAGAUCCUAGCCUGGGAACUUCCAUGUGCUGCAGUUCAGCCCUAAAAUUAAAAAAAAAAAAA